GGGCACCUCGCAAAUCGGUCUGGCAAGGCUUCAAAACCGGUGAGGGGCUGCGAGAGCAGUCCCUGGCGAGUUCGAUUCCCGUGCCCUACCGCCA
rnacentral:tRNA from 2 species